rnacentral:lncRNA from 1 species
UUCUAUUAUUUCACUCUGUCAUAGCCAUGGGCUUAAGGACUCGAUCUUUCGAUCAUCAUAGGACUACUCUUCUCAUCUAUCGAGGUUGAUAGAUCCCAUCUUGGUGCAAUCUGGUUCCUAUAAUGAAUAUGCUACAGCCAACAUACACCUCAAGAUUUUGAAUGGCUAGGAGACUGAGUUAUGGUGUAGUCAAACUAUAACACACUCAAGGUGAACUGUCGAUGCACCUCAAGUCAAAGAACUAGACACACAACU